GGAGAGGUGCCGGAGCGGCCGAUCGGGGCGGUCUCGAAAACCGUUGUAGCCAGUUUGGUUACCGUGGGUUCGAAUCCCACCCUCUCCG
rnacentral:tRNA from 1 species